GACGAACGCUGGCGGCGUGCUUAACACAUGCAAGUCGAACGGAAAGGCCCUGCUUUUGUGGGGUGCUCGAGUGGCGAACGGGUGAGUAACACGUGAGUAACCUGCCCUUGACUUUGGGAUAACUUCAGGAAACUGGGGCUAAUACCGGAUAGGAGCUCCUGCUGCAUGGUGGGGGUUGGAAAGUUUCGGCGGUUGGGGAUGGACUCGCGGCUUAUCAGCUUGUUGGUGGGGUAGUGGCUUACCAAGGCUUUGACGGGUAGCCGGCCUGAGAGGGUGACCGGCCACACUGGGACUGAGAUACGGCCCAGACUCCUACGGGAGGCAGCAGUGGGGAAUAUUGCACAAUGGGCGGAAGCCUGAUGCAGCAACGCCGGGUGCGGGAUGACGGCCUUCGGGUUGUAAACCGCUUUCGCCUGUGACGAAGCGUGAGUGACGGUAAUGGGUAAAGAAGCACCGGCUAACUACGUG
rnacentral:rRNA from 1 species